AAAUUGAAGAGUUUGAUCAUGGCUCAGAUUGAACGCUGGCGGCAGGCCUAACACAUGCAAGUCGAACGGUAACAGGAAGCAGCUUGCUGCUUCGCUGACGAGUGGCGGACGGGUGAGUAAUGUCUGGGAAACUGCCUGAUGGAGGGGGAUAACUACUGGAAACGGUGGCUAAUACCGCAUAACGUCGCAAGACCAAAGAGGGGGACCUUCGGGCCUCUUGCCAUCAGAUGUGCCCAGAUGGGAUUAGCUUGUUGGUGAGGUAACGGCUCACCAAGGCGACGAUCCCUAGCUGGUCUGAGAGGAUGACCAGCCACACUGGAACUGAGACACGGUCCAGACUCCUACGGGAGGCAGCAGUGGGGAAUAUUGCACAAUGGGCGCAAGCCUGAUG
rnacentral:rRNA from 1 species